UUUGCCUCUCGCGUGCGCGCAGACGCGCUGCGCGGCCCAGAUCCCGCCGCUCCGCCAGUUUGGAGGCUGCGCCGCGGCUCUCUCUGCCCCCUCGCCCCCGAGCCUUAAGGACGUUGCGGGGGUGGGGCGGAACCGAUUUUUCUUUCUUGUGGUAGAAUUCUGGAGACGGCCCCGUUCCCAGCCAGAGUCCGCUCAGACUGCGUGAGCGCCGGGGCAAGAAAUAAAUCCAUGGAGAGAUCCUGAAGGACUAUUCUUGUCAUGAGGCCUGAAACUCAUUCCUGAAGAAGAAUGCAGGAGCCAUCUCUCAGAAGUAAAGGUCUAAAUCAGUGAUUUCCAAACAUUAUUCUAGAAAUGAUAAACAGGAAUUUUUCAUCAUGGGAUGAGAGAAAAAUAAGCUCUUCAAAAGGCUAAAUGUAUUUAAUUCAAAGGACUGUCUUCUAGGCUGAGAUUAUAUCCUUCAAACUUUUGAGGUUUUAAAGUGACUUUUCUUUUAUAACGUGAUAAGCCUUGUCCAUCCCCAUCACCAGGCCAUGACUGCUCACCUACCUGCUCUCUAAUGCACAUGUGCUCAGCACUGUUUGCCUCAGUCAUCAGCUCCACUCUGCAAGGACCAUGGUGGGCCCCACAGAUGUUCUGGAGGCUGUCUUCCCAGACUUCUCUCCAUCACAUCUCAGGCAGAGCACUACAAAGUGAGGAACCUACAGCCUUUUACCAGAGCAAGAAGUUUCUCUAAAACAUAUGCUGGCUUGUUCAAGAAGAUCCUGCUGGGCCUGUUUGGGACUCUCAUAGAAGCUGGAAGGUGGUUCAGAGAGAAGAGCAAAUGAGAGAGAACAAUGGGGGCUUAGCAAUAGCCCAGGCAGUGGAUGAGAUCCUGAGCUGAAGUAAACAGGAAUGCCAAAAUGAUGUGCCAGGUUUGAGGUCCCACAGCAAUACCCACCAAGGAGUUCAACAUGUUGAUCUGGAGAGAGAUCUGAACCCUCAUGGAGGUGGGAGCAGAAGCUGUGAGAAGAACUAAGAGAAAAGGGCCAAAGUGAAAUUCUGCUGAACCCGAACAUCACAGACAGUGAAGGAAGAGAUUUCGGAGGUCUGGAGUGAGCUACAAUGAAAGCAGUUAUAGAGGAAAAUGGGAGCAAAAGCCAGCCUACAGAAGGUGAGGAGUGAAACCCCGUCAGACCUGCAAAUACCCUUGCUUUACCUUCACCUCCACAGUGAACGGUGGAACACAGGCGUUUUCUGCUCUGCCCACUAUCACUUCCUCUAAGGGGUCCCAUUCAUUGUAAGAGGAGACAGGGCAGUCCUUGGGCAGAGGAUCAGUGGCCUUAUCGUCAGCUGCACAGGAAUUCCGGGAGGAAGCAGUAGCUGCCUGGGUGCUCUGGAAAGUUCGCUGCACCCAUCCUGUUAAGGUUCUUCCAAGCUUCCAAGAACAACAAAAAAAGAUUAUUUUACAGUCCUACAAAGUACUUGUGGGGAGGAGGAGGUACAGGUGGAGAGAAACCCAACAUAACAUAGACAUUUACAAUCCUUUAGAAGAAUGUAAAUCAAGAUGUUAGUAAGUAAGUGGGUAGUGGGGCUAUAGUUUUACCUUCUUGUUUUUUUUUUAUAAAUUACCUUGUCUAUAUGUUCAUUAGCUAGCUUGUUAAAGCUCCUCAGAAGAUUUUGUCCCCAGUGACCACCUCCAUUUAUAUCUCAGAAUGGUUUUCUACAAUCAAGUUUUAAUCAAGCUUUAAGCAACCCUUCCAUGGAUGAUGGAUCAUCCUGUUCCUAGAAAACCACAGAACGCUGCUCCAUAUCUCCCUGCCAAGUCCAGCUGGAGGAAGAAGCCUCCUUUCCUUUUCAGUAUUAAAAGUCACCAAAAAAAAAAAAAAAAAAGUUACCAAUAUUAGACUUUUUUUCCCCAAAUAAAAAUGUAGAUGCAUA